rnacentral:rRNA from 1 species
UAAACUACGAUUAGAUACCCUAUUAUUUUAAUCGUUAAUUAUUUCCUGGGUAGUAAUAGUUAUGAUCUUUAAACUCAAAGAAUUUGGCGGUGUUUUAGUCUAUUUAGAGGAAUUUGUCCCGUAAUCGAUAGUCCUCGUUUUAUCUUUCUUGAUUUUGAAUUAUCAGUAUGUAUAUCGCCGUUAUAAGUUUAUUUUUUUAGAAUUUAAAAUUUACUUUAAAAUUUAUUAGUUUAUAUUUCAGGUCAAGGUGCAGCUUAUAAUUAAGUGGAGAUGAAUUACAAUAUUAUCUUAAUAUAUGGAUUAUAUAUUUAAAUUUUAUAUGAAGGUGGAUUUAAUAGUAAUUUUAAUAAUAAUGUUAUUUUGAUUUUAGCUCUAAAGCGAGUACAC